UGGGGAAUCUUGGACAAUGGGCGCAAGCCUGAUCCAGCCAUGCCGCGUGGAUGAUGACGGCCCUAGGGUUGUAAAAUCCUUUCGUUGGGGACGAUAAUGACGGUACCCAAAGAAGAAGCUCCGGCUAACUUCGCGCCAGCAGCCGCGGUAAUACGAAGGGGGCUAGCGUUGUUCGGAUUUACUGGGCGUAAAGCGCGUGUAGGCGGGUCGUUAAGUUGGGGGUGAAAUCCCGAGGCUCAACCUCGGAACUGCCUUCAAAACUGGCGACCUGGACUCAAGUAGAGGCAAGUGGAAUUGCGAGUGUAGAGGUGAAAUUCGUAGAUAUUCGCAGGAACACCAGUGGCGAAGGCGACUUGCUGGACUUGUAGUGACGCUGAGACGCGAAAGCGUGGGGAGCAAA
rnacentral:rRNA from 1 species